GGUCCGUUGGUGUAACGGUUAACACUACCUAUCCUGGCGCAUUGUCGUGCUGGACGCGGCAUUAUGGUAGAGCGGAAGUUACCGGUUCGAAUCCGGUACGGGCCA